rnacentral:tRNA from 2 species
GAUCCAGGAGCUUGUAUUUAAGCAUCUGAUUGUUGCUCAGGGGAAGGUUUGUGAAGUUGACUCUGGGUCU